UACGUAGGGGGCAAGCGUUGUCCGGAUUUAUUGGGCGUAAAGAGCGUGUAGGCGGCCAGGUAGGUCAGCUGUGAAAACUCGAGGCUCAACCUCGAGACGUCGGUUGAAACCACCUGGCUAGAGUCCGGAAGAGGAGAGUGGAAUUCCCGGUGUAGCGGUGAAAUGCGCAGAUAUCGGGAAGAACACCCGUGGCGAAGGCGGCUCUCUGGGACGGUACUGACGCUGAGACGCGAAAGCGUGGGGAGCGAACAGG
rnacentral:rRNA from 1 species